AGAGUGAACGCUGGCGGCGUGCCUAACACAUGCAAGUCGAACGAGAACGGGUAUUAGUUUACUAAUACUGUCAGCUAAGUGGCGCACGGGUGAGUAAUAUAUAGUUAAUCUGCCCCAAAGAAGAGAAUAAUUGUUGGAAACGACUUGUAAUGCUCUAUAUGCCUUUAUUACAUAAGUAAGCAAGGGAAACACUUAUGGCUUUGGGAUGAGACUGUACGGUAUCAGUUUGUUGGUGAGGUAAUGGCUCACCAAGACUAUGACGCCUAACUGGUUUGAGAGGAUGAUCAGUCACACUGGAACUGAGACACGGUCCAGACUCCUACGGGAGGCAGCAGUGGGGAAUAUUGCACAAUGGAGGAAACUCUGAUGCAGCAACGCCGCGUGGAGGAUGACACAUUUCGGUGCGUAAACUCCUUUUAUUAGGGAAGAUAAUGACGGUACCUAAUGAAUAAGCACCGGCUAACUCCGUGCCAGCAGCCGCGGUAAUACGGGGGGUGCAAGCGUUACUCGGAAUCACUGGGCGUAAAGAGCAUGUAGGCUGGUUUGUAAGUUGGAAGUGAAAUCCUAUGGCUUAACCAUAGAACUGCUUCCAAAACUGCAGACCUAGAGUAUGGGAGAGGUAGAUGGAAUUUCUGGUGUAGGGGUAAAAUCCGUAGAGAUCAGAAGGAAUACCGAUUGCGAAGGCGAUCUACUGGAACAUUACUGACGCUGAGAUGCGAAAGCGUGGGGAGCAAACAGGAUUAGAUACCCUGGUAGUCCACGCCCUAAACGAUGCACACUAGUUGUUGCUAUGCUAGACAUAGCAGUAAUGCAGUUAACACAGUAAGUGUGCCGCCUGGGGAGUACGGUCGCAAGAUUA
rnacentral:rRNA from 1 species